GUGAGCAAAGUUUCAGGCGUGU
rnacentral:miRNA from 1 species